CCAACGUCAGCAGGGCCAGCAAGACGGCGACUUCCACUGGCUGUAAGCCAUCAAAGCUUUGCAUGCGUGAGGCCGGGUUGAUGUUGACUUAAUCAAUCUCCCUGCUGGCGAGGACGUCCUACAGUUAAACACACAUGUCUGGUUCUCAAAGACUCAUGUAGGAUGGUCCCGAGCUCCAAACCAUGGAGGCAGUGGCCUCUUCUCUGUCUUUGUUGUUGAAACCUGAAACAUUGUGUAUGAAGUCUAAUCUUAUGCAUGCUCAUUUAUCCUUCUUGUUAAUGGAAUUGGGGCUGGCAUAAAAUGUUAAGCACGAAGGAAAGCAGCUGCAUCACCACAAACGCCAAGGAGAAGCACACGAAUGAAUCUGGGUUUCCAUUUUGAAGUUAUAGCUGCUGUACUGAAAGGAAAGGAACUCUUUUCUCCGUGAAAAUGCAAAGAAAAAUAAAUCUGGGUUAUUGGUCACUCACCUGACCCAGGCCCCAGAUAGAGCAAUCGAGGCGGUGGCCAUGGCGCUCCCAGAUCGGCGACGGCCUCUGCAGAUGAGCGCUACCCAUCGUUCAUCGUCAAAUGCUUCGAGUUGCCCGCGACGAAGCUGCUCGACUUCGGUGCCUCCCCUCCGUGUGGUUCCGCUCGAGGGCCGUGCGGUUCCUUGUGAGGGGAGGGCUCGGCUGCUCCGACGCCUCAAGGUGCACGAGCGAUCCAAGGACCUUUGUGCUGGCUCAGCGGAUCUCACAAAUUCCACCACCACUGCUAGCCGCCGUCCAUGCUCCGGCGUCAGCAGCUCCAGCAAGACGGCGACUUCUGCUUCUUCCUGUCCCAUGAAGCGUCCUCCAAGCUGCCCCCAAUUCCCCACUCUCUUCUGACCUCCGCCUCACGACCGAGGUGAGAUGGAGGGGUGGAUGGGUUCCCUUGGCAUCAGCUUGAUGUUUUCCCUUUGUUUCUGACGACAGUUGAGACCUGAAACUGUUGGAAAUAU